rnacentral:snoRNA from 1 species
CCGAAUGAUGACCAAAUUGACACCACAGGGAUUCCUCAUGCUUAAUAAACGAUGUGGAUAACGUGUUCAAACAAGUUUCAGCCUUGUCUGACA